rnacentral:piRNA from 1 species
AGAACUAGAUCUGAACCUGUGAAGACGAGC